rnacentral:rRNA from 1 species
CCUGCGCCUGCCGGCGACCGGCGCACGGGUGAGUAACACGUAUGGAACCUGCCCGCCACAGGGGGAUAACCCGGGGAAACCCGGCCUAAUACCCCAUGCCGCCCGGACCGGGCAUCCGGUCCGGGCGAAAGGAGGAAUCCGGUGGCGGCUGGGCAUGCGGCGCAUUAGCUUGACGGCGGGGUAACGGCCCACCGUGGCGACGAUGCGUAGGGGUUCUGAGAGGAAGGUCCCCCACACUGGUACUGAGACACGGACCAGACUCCUACGGAAGGCAGCAG